rnacentral:rRNA from 1 species
UACGUAGGGCGCAAGCGUUAUCCGGAAUUAUUGGGCGUAAAGAGCUCGUAGGCGGUUUGUCGCGUCUGCCGUGAAAGCCCGGAGCUCAACUCCGGGUCUGCAGUCGAUACGGGCAGACUUGAGUGUUGCAGGGGAGACUGGAAUUCCUGGUGUAGCGGUGAAAUGCGCAGAUAUCAGGAGGAACACCGGUGGCGAAGGCGGUUCUCUGGGCAUUACCUGACGCUGAGGAGCGAAAGUGUGGGGAGCGAACAGG